rnacentral:rRNA from 1 species
UACGUAGGGUGCAAGCGUUAAUCGGAAUACUGGGCGUAAAGCGUGCGCAGGCGGUGAUGUAAGACAGUUGUGAAAUCCCCGGGCUCAACCUGGGAACUGCAUCUGUGACUGCAUUGCUGGAGUGCGGCAGAGGGGGAUGGAAUCCGCGUGUAGCAGUGAAAUGCGUAGAUAUGCGGAGGAACACCGAUGGCGAAGGCAAUCCCUGGCGCAC